UACGUAGGGUGCAAGCGUUGUCCGGAAUUAUUGGGCGUAAAGAGCUCGUAGGCGGUUUUGUUGCGUCGGCUGUGAAAUCCCCGAGGCUCAACCUCGGGUCUGCAGUCGAUACGAGCAAACUAGAGUGUUGCAGGGGAGACUGGAAUUCCUGGUGUAGCGGUGAAAUGCGCAGAUAUCAGGAGGAACACCGGUGGCGAAGGCGGGUCUCUGGGCAACAACUGACGCUGAGGAGCGAAAGCGUGGGGAGCGAACAGG
rnacentral:rRNA from 1 species